UAACGGGGAAGGAACCUUACCAAAUUUUGACAUCCUCUGACACCUCUCGAGAUAGAGUUUUCCCCUUCGGGGGACAAAGUGCCAGGUGGUGCAUGGUUGUCGUCAGCUCGUGUCGUGAGAUGUUGGGUUAAGUCCCGCAACGAGCGCAACCCUUAAGCUUAGUUGCCAUCAUUAAGUUGGGCACUCUAAGUUGACUGCCGGUGACAAACCGGAGGAAGGUGGGGAUGACGUCAAAUCAUCAUGCCCCUUAUGAUUUGGGCUACACACGUGCUACAAUGGACAAUACAAAGGGCAGCGAAACCGCGAGGUCAAGCAAAUCCCAUAAAGUCGUUCUCAGUUCGGAUUGUAGUCUGCAACUCGACUACAUGAAGCCGGAAUCGCCUAGUAGUCCGUGGA
rnacentral:rRNA from 1 species